GAUUUCAGCUUGAAAAAGUCAUCAAUAACAAAGUUGUAUAACUCAUCAAUAUCUAUAACUUCUAUUUUAGUCAUUUCUUCAUCCGACAAAGUUAUUUAUAAGAUUGUUCACAAAAUGUACAUAUCUCUUAUAUAUAGUUAUAGUUUUAUAAACUAUAUAAGAAAUAUGUACAUUUUGUGAACAAUCGUACAAAUCGCUUUGUCAGAAGAAGAAAUGACCAAAAUAAAAGUUAUAGAUUUUGAUGAUUUAUACAACUUUGUUAAUGAUGACUUUUUUAGUUGAAAUU
rnacentral:pre_miRNA from 2 species